UACGUAGGGGGCAAGCGUUGUCCGGAAUCAUUGGGCGUAAAGCGCGUGUAGGCGGUUCUGUAAGUCCCGCGUGAAAUCCCCCGGCUCAACUGGGGAACUGCGCGGGAAACUGUGGGGCUAGAGUUCAGGAGAGGGAAGCGGAAUUCCGGGUGUAGCGGUGAAAUGCGUAGAUAUCCGGAGGAACACCGGUGGCGAAGGCGGCUUCCUGGACUGACACUGACGCUGAGGCGCGAAAGCUAGGGGAGCAAACGGG
rnacentral:rRNA from 1 species